rnacentral:rRNA from 1 species
GACGUAGGGCGCGAGCGUUGUCCGGAUUUAUUGGGCGUAAAGAGCUCGUAGGCGGCUUGUCGCGUCGGCUGUGAAAACCCGCGGCUCAACUGUGGGCGGGCAGCUGAUACGGGCAGGCUGGAGUUCGGUAGGGGAGACUGGAAUUCCUGGUGUAGCGGUGAAAUGCGCAGAUAUCAGGAGGAACACCGGUGGCGAAGGCGGAUCUCUGGGCCUUACCUGACGCUGAGGCGCGAAAGCUAGGGGAGCAAACAGG